AGUGAACGCUGGCGGCGUGCCUAAUAAAUGCAAGUCGAACGACGUGGCGCACGGGUGAGUAAUAUAUAGUUAAUCUGACCUACACAGAGGAACAACAGUUGGAAACGACUGCUAAUAACUCAUAGUGUAGAAUGAGACUAUAUCGUAUCAGAUAGUUGUUAAGGUAAUGGCUUACCAAGGCUAUGACGCGUAACUGGUCUGAGAGGAUGAUCAGUCACAUUGUAACUGAGACACGGUUCAAACUCCGACGGGAGGCAGCAGUAAGGAAUAUUUCGCAAUGGGGGAACCCCUGACGCAGCAACGCCGCGUGUAGGAUUACACUUUUCGGGGCGUAAACUCCUUUUAUCAGGAAAGCGGUACCUGAUGAAUAAGCACCGGCUAACUCCGUGCCAGCAGCCGCGGUAAUUC
rnacentral:rRNA from 1 species